UAAGAUAUGGAUCCCGAGGAUCUAAAAGGUAAUUAACACCUAGAGGGGGGUGAAUAGGUGUAAAAACGGCAAACUCAAAAAUCUCGAUGCAAAUAAAACGAAACAGCGGAAAAGAAAACAGCACACCGAGAAUUUAAUGUGGGAAAACUCCAAAUCGGAGUGAAAAACCCACGGGACCAAUCACGCAAAGAAAAUCCACUAAGAAAACAUGAGUACAAGUGAUUUUGACCAAAACACACGACUCAAUUUACCAAUUUCCCGUAGAUGAUGAUCUUCGCCGGUCCUCGAUCGAUAAGAAUCCUCCAAUCGAUCUCACUGCAACUCCUUGCAGCGUCAACGCCUCAACUCCUUGAAGCGUCCACCGAAUCCUCGGCUACACGUGAACUCCACACGUCGAAUCUCCUUCCGGAGCUUGUAGAAUUGAAGAUUUGUGGUGAUUAAGCUUUAGAAUCCCAUAAGCUAUGAGGAUCUACCUUUAAUCAAACAUCUACUUGAUUCUCGUAUGAUUUCUCGAGUAAAAACAAAGAAUCAAGUCGAUUGUUGAUCGUUAGAAACUUGUUAUUAGAAUCAAACCAUAAGAACAAGAAUAACUAGUUUCUAGGGUUUAGAAUCAGUAGAAAUUCAAAGCCUUACCUCUUUAGAUGACCCUCAUAGCUUAUUUAUAUGUUUAGAAGACUUAGAAAUAGACUAGGAUUGUAAAAAGUCCUUUUUAAAAACCUGUGUCGUCCUCAGAGACCGGUCUUCUCGAGGAGACCGGUCUGUGAGAGACCGGUCUCUCAAGUGAGGAACCGGUCCCUCGCUGCGUGACCAAAAUCACAACGUUCGGGAACCGGUCUCUCAAGCUUGAGACCGGUCCCUCGCUGCGCGACAGAAUCACCAAGGUUCGGGAACCGGUCUCUCAUCACAGGGGACCGGUUGCAUCAAGGUUCACGCAGUGAGGACCUUAGGGGAACCGGUCUCUUGAACUCAGAGACCGGUCCCAGAACACAGAAAAGUUCAGUAAAGUAGUUUUAAAGCCAUCUAAGCCUUCUGAACUUAUUCUAAUUAGAUAUCUUCACCACAAAUGAUCUUUUCUUCAUACCUUAGGUGUCGAGCUUUCCGAAUAAGUCUUUGUUCUUUAAUUUGAAUCUUUUCUUCAAAACUUCUGCGAUCAACUCUUCAAGACUCCAACGAACUUUACGAAAUUCGCCAACCUAUAAAAUCCUUAACAACAACUACCAGCUCCUAAGCACCUAGUGC
rnacentral:lncRNA from 1 species